GGGCGAGUGGGUCCCGCUGCCCCACAGUGUGAUCCUGAAUAUCGACAGGGUUCCCAUCAGGAAAAACGUACAAAAUACUGAAACCAAAACAGACAACGGGGAUGAGUUCCAGGAGCCUUGAAUUGAGCAGAGAGUGAACACCACGCCGUGGAGUCCAUGUGACGAUGGAGAAUCUAUGCGAGUCUCGGGCGACGGAAGAGCACCAAGAACACUCCUCGAGAAUGAACAGUGGCUGUCUCUUGAGGGCUGGGAGGGGACUUGUGGGAACUUUGACGCAAAAGAUUUGAUUCGGGUAAUAAAUUUCCAUUUAUCGUAAUGCGCCAAGUGUACUCAAGAUCUGAACAUUUCACUGUGUAUACUUUGUACUCUCUCCCUUCCAAAAAAACAAUGAAAAAAUAAUUACAAAUGAGCACUGAACUCGAUAGAUUUUUCACAGUGGUAUUAGAUAGCAAUUCUGAAAGCAUUUCUGUAUCUCCAGGCUUAAGCAAAUAAGUUUAAUAAAUCAGUGAAUAUAUUGAGUGUUA